UUUUAUCGGAGAGUUUGAUCCUGGCUCAGGACGAACGCUGGCGGCGUGCCUAAUACAUGCAAGUCGAGCGGAUUGAUGGGAGCUUGCUCCCUGAUAUCAGCGGCGGACGGGUGAGUAACACGUGGGUAACCUGCCUGUAAGACUGGGAUAACUCCGGGAAACCGGGGCU
rnacentral:rRNA from 1 species